GAUGAACGCUGGCGGCGUGCCUAAUACAUGCAAGUCGAGCGAACGGACGAGAAGCUUGCUUCUCUGAUGUUAGCGGCGGACGGGUGAGUAACACGUGGAUAACCUACCUAUAAGACUGGGAUAACUUCGGGAAACCGGAGCUAAUACCGGAUAAUAUUUUGAACCGCAUGGUUCAAAAGUGAAAGACGGUCUUGCUGUCACUUAUAGAUGGAUCCGCGCUGCAUUAGCUAGUUGGUAAGGUAACGGCUUACCAAGGCAACGAUGCAUAGCCGACCUGAGAGGGUGAACGCCCACACUGGGACUGAGACACGGUCCAGACUCCUACAGGAGGCAGCGGUAGGGAAUCUUCCGCGAUGGGCGGAAUCCUGCCGGAGCAGCGCCGGGUGAAUGAUGAAGGUCUGCGGGUCGUAAGACGCUGUUAUUGGUGUAAACCAUUUGUGUAAGGAACUGAGCACAUCUUGACGGUACCUAAACAGAAAGCCACGGCUAACUACGUG
rnacentral:rRNA from 1 species